AUGUGAUCCAGUUUAGAGUAUUCUCUUUUGGUGUUCUUUACUUUACCUAAUUAGCAGAGACAAUAAACAAGAAGACACAACCAAAGCCAAGUGGAGGAGUGUUACACAGACAGGUGCAAGAGAGAGAAAGAUAGAGAGAGAGAGAGAAGAGAA